rnacentral:other from 1 species
UAUCCCCUGCGGUGCCCGCCAGUUGCCGGGUAUUUUCUUGAGCCUAAUCACUACCCCGGGAGCACAACACCGUUGCCGUGUGCAUGUCCGCCCUGCGGAAAGCCUUACGUAACGGUGACCGUUCCCACUUGAGCCUUCUGGUUCAAGAACAAAGGCGACAGCGGCACAGGCGGGGGGUAC